GGAGAAGGGCAGAACCCUGCGGAAUCAAGCCAGGAGACCAGGAUGCCACGGCAUGCCCACCUGAUGGUUUCACAGCUCCCUUUAAUCCCCUUUAGUAAGAUGGGAGUUGGCUUCACCUCUACGAUUAGAUGCUGUCAAAGAUACACCCCCCAGCAUGUGUUCAGCACUGGGAGGAGAUCUGAAAGUGGCUGUCCAGAGCAACAAUGUUUGUGCAUUACCUUGACGUGAACCUUGAGAUUUCCAGCUAGAAGCUCUCAGGGGUAGGAUCACUCUCAAUCUCUCUGCCUCCUUCCUCUUGCUGACAAUUGCCAUGACUCAGUCUACAAAGCCUCAUCAGGCAAUGUCAGUGACUCAGCCAUGUGACACCAGCUCUAUCAGUCCAUCUAGGCGUGAUUUAGAAAAGAAGCAAAUACAAGUUUUUGUGAUGUGGGAAGACAACCUUUUCAAUCUGACAAAAAUAAAACAUUACAUCCAACCACCCACAGAAGGAAGUGACUUCAUAUAGGUGACCACUUAGCUGCUGCCUUGGUAGAUGUGGAUAUAUUGUGUUACUUUCCAGCAGGUCAAAAAAGCCUUAUUUUGUUUUGUUCACAGAUAAUUUGAAAGAACUCAUCUUCCAAGCUUAAAGUAUAUUUUCCAAAAACUGCUUCAUAUAAAGCUUGUGGGCACUUGCCUUAUUCAGUCUCCAGGCUCUAAGCACAGAGAGUGCUGCUCCCACUGGUAAAGCAAACUCCAGCUGGAGUCUGGAGCACUUCUCUCAUUUAUCUGCUGAACAAAGCACUGUCCAGCACGUGCUCCCUGUUAGGAAGGGCUUAGAAAGAGACUGCAAAUACAGGGGAGGUUUUAAGUUGUUUCUUAAGUUAUAAGGGGACACUUCAUACAUGAUGGGAAGUAAAUCUAUUUUCGGUCCACAGCAAUCGCUCCCAGUAGGCUGUGGAGUGAAGCUGUUUCCAGCAGUGCUGAUCUCAACCACGUGUCAAAAGUUUCUUUGUUACUCACUGAGUUUCAGUUACCAAAACCCUUCCUCUUCUGAACACAUAAGGGAUGUGGCCUACGGUGAUAUUUUUCAUUCUUUGCUUUCUUUCCAGUAAAUGAAUCCAAGUUAAUCUUUCAAAUAGAGCUCCUGAGUUAUUUUAUUUACAGAGCAAGUCCUAAGGAACAUUCCUCAGACAUGUCCUUUUUCUUUUCCUGAGUGAAUGCAGAGGUUCAGCUGAUAUUUGUUAGGCGUGGACAUCUUUGGAGGGGACUAUUCAAAUUGUCAGCAGAUACUAAACACCACUGACAGUUCCAAAGUUUAGUGAAACAGCCAACAGAUUCCCAGCAGCAGUACCUCCCCAGCAAGGGGAACCAAGAACAGCAAAGAACAUUCUAAGGAUCUGCUGAUGGUCUAGUCUAAUGAAGUUUGUGCAGAACUUUUCAACUUUAAAGUGAUCUAGUUAAUGAAUCCUUAAAUUUCACUCUGGCUGCAAUUCAGAGAGCUGGAGCUCUCUAGCAGUGAGUUGAUUAGAGUUACCUUCUCUAUUUUUAAUGAGAUGUGCUAACACUGUGAGCUUAUUGCACGGUCAGCAUCCUGGGAAUCAUCUGUAAGCCAUGUACCUUCUCCUAAAUGGAAGAGGAAACAUGGAGUAAAUCUGUGUUGUUGAAUUUGUUUGGGAUUUGUGCCCCACCAUACAAUUCACUACACCUAAUGAGAGACAGCCCUUGCAGCAUUUACAAUCUACACCUUUUAAACUGUGGUACUUUUUUUUUUUUACAUCUUUCAGUAUGUGCCUUUCCCCCUCUAUUUCAGGAUGACUUGGUAAACAUUUCUCUGCAUAGUAAUUUGAUUUACAUUUUAUAUCCAAUGUUCUUCAGUUUAGUUCUUCUGUCAGAAGUUAUCCAGACAAGAAAGAAGUCCCAGUGUUUGAACCAUUUUACCUGGAGUAUCAGAAGCAACGGGACAAUCAAAGAGAGAUAACAGACAUGAUGUGCAUUUACAAUAGGGGAAAAAAUGCUAUUUUCUACCGUGUCAGCAAUUCCCAUCUUGUUAGUAUGUACAAUUUUCUACUGAAAGGGUUUGAAAAAACAAAGGAUUCUGUCAUCUGGCAUCAAUGCCCAGAGUGGCAAGUUCAUAGACCUGACUGGCUUCUCAGGGCACUAGCAUUCCUGAAAUAUCAAUUACAAAUAUUAAAAGAACAAAAUUACAUGAUUUAAUGAAAUUAUUUAAAUAAUUUGAUUCUAAAUAUAAGAAAUUCUGAGUAAAUUAAAGCUUCACAUGGAAUUUGCUCAUGAGUUGCAGCCCUAUGUGGAAUCUGAUCACACUUUAUAGUUUGGAUUAUUUCCUCCCACUGCAUUUGGCAGGGGCUGUACUUGUGUAAUAGCAUAUUAGACUAUUUAGAUCUUAAAUGAAUCAUCAACUUCCUGUAGGCACUUGCACUGUAAAACCAGUGGGUUUUGUACAUGUAGUA